UAUUGCACAAUGGGGGAAACCCUGAUGCAGCGACGCGGCGUGAGCGAAGAAGUAUUUCGGUAUGUAAAGCUCUUUCAGCAGGGAAGAAGAUGACGGUACCGGACUAAGAAGCUCCGGCUAAAUACGUGCCAGCAGCCGCGGUAAUACGUAUGGAGCAAGCGUUAUCCGGAUUUACUGGGUGUAAAGGGAGCGCAGGCGGCAUGGCAAGUCUCGUGUGAAAGGCCGGGGCUCAACCCCGGGACUGCAUUGGAAACUGCCAGGCUGGAGUGCCGGAGAGGUAAGCGGAAUUCCUAGUGUAGCGGUGAAAUGCGUAGAUAUUAGGAGGAACACCAGUGGCGAAGGCGGCUUACUGGACGGCAACUGACGCUGAGGCUCGAAAGCGUGGGGAGCAAAUAGG
rnacentral:rRNA from 1 species